rnacentral:tRNA from 1 species
GCUGGAGUAGCUCAGUGGUAGAGCACUGCUCUGAAAAAGCAGGGGUCGGCAGUUCGAUCCUGCCCUCCAGCACAA